rnacentral:tRNA from 1 species
ACUUAAAUAAUUUAAAUAAAAUAUUGAUUUGUGGUGUCAAAAAUAUGAUAAUAAAUAUCAUUUUAAGUU